UCAACCAUCAAGCCUGGCUUGUCGUUGGACCCCUUGCUGCUGAAAUAUACGGCAGGUCCGAAAGAUAAUGACGGCGUCGUGUUUGACCCUAGAUGCAACGAGCUUUUUCAUAGCACGCAUUGAAGUGGUCGGCCGACCCGGUCUUUAACCAUCAUUUUCUAA
rnacentral:misc_RNA from 1 species